UCACAUUUAUAUUAAGCCAUUUCCAUAGGAGUGAAAGUAACACCAUAUAUGAUCAGGCCUUUCUGCAGUUUCCAGUAGGGUUCAGCACUGGUGAGCGAAAAUUUGACAUAUUCAUCGUCACAAGGACCUAGUGCAAUAGGUGUCAUUAUCCCAGGCAAAUGACAAGUGAAGUCCUCUUCGGACUCUUCAUAAGGAGGGCUUUUCUCAGUUUUCACUUUUCCCAUGCUAUGGUGCUUUGCCAGCCCGACCACAAAAUGGCCUACAUAAGGGUCUUCUCCAGCUCUCAGCUGACAUUCUCCGCUAACUUUGAAGUCGGUGCUCUCUAGUAACUCAAUUUCCCUUCCAACUGAAGAGCGCAUGCCCUCACAUAUUCAGUACCAUUCUGCAUUUUAGUUAUGAAAAAAAGAUUAGCAUUAUAUAUUUCAAUAUCUAUCAGUAACUACACUGAUCAUAUAUGUUUUCUGCAAUUUCAGUCUAAAAUUUCAUGAUCACUUGCCUUGAGG